CUGAAUUCAACUGAUAAAGACUAGGGAAUGAAAAUUUAUUCAGGCUAUUUGAGAAAAGGCUGUUUACUCCUUUGUUUUGACUUGGAGAUGUGGAUUAUCUUCCUUCAUCUGAUUAUUCUCUUUUCCCUUUACUCUAAAAAUCCUAUUACUAGUUGAAGUCUGAUGCACAGGAAAGCCCUAUUGGGUCAUGAAAAAGAGAAAUACAGUUUGUAGGUGCUCUGUGUUGAAAGUAAAUGUUAACCUAAACAUUUAUGAGGGAGAUGCCUAUCUAUCACAAAAUUAGAACUUCCUUAGCCUCCAGCUUAGAAAUCAUAUCCAGUUUACAGAACCUUAUUAGGUACAUUCCAUGGGAGAAAAGCCUCCUUUUAACCAUAUUUUGGAGAUUUAGAAACAUUGUCUUCUGUAGUACUUGACAACACAGCUAUAAUUUUGAGUUUGUCAACUGUGCAAUAAUUCUGAUUAAUCAAGAUCCAGUCUAGUUCAGAAAAGCAGUUUCUAUAGCAUUAGAUAGCACCAAGGCUCAAGAUCCAGUCUAGUUCAGAAAAGCAGUUUCUAUAGCAUUAGAUAGCACCAAGGCUGAGAAGGGCGAGUACAGAUUGUUAGACCUUAAAAAUAUCUGGGGAGGUUUCUGAUUAUAUUCUUUUACAUUCUAUAAACUUUUCGGUUAGUGGUGGUUUUAACUUUUCUGCUUCAGCAUAUCUUUCAAAUUAAUGGAGAAAAUACAGGUGAUUUCGCACACAAAAAAACAUGUACCCAAGACAUCAUUACACCCCUGUUACAAAUUCAAGAUGUCACACCAUAACUAACUUAUUGACUGGUUGCAUCUUUAAGAUCAUAUGAUACGGGUAUCCCUACCUUGGGGUCAGGAAUUUUGAUGUUGUUUUCCGAGUUUUAUAUAUAUGUAUACAAGUUUGCUGUGCAUAUGUGUGUGAACUAUGGCCUUUAUCAUAUUCUCAAAGGAAGUUAGGAACCGCCAAGAAUAAAUAAGCAGACAACUGUACCCGAGAGUUGUUAACACAGAAGUUCUUAGACUGUUUAAAUACUCCUUUCUCUUCCUUCCUGGCUCCCCUUUCAGUGCUCUCCACUAUGCCCCGCAUUGAAGUUCACCCUUGGUCUCAUGCUUCUAUGCAAGCAUAAUCAAGUUAAUAAUGAGAGACAUACAGAAUGGCUGCUUCUACUGGAUGCCCACUUUUACGUUCUGAAUAAGUGUCCAGUUAUUUAUGUGUGACCACUUUGCAUCCUGGCUCCUCUCUAGAGGGAAUUGAAAAGAAGGAAAUU